rnacentral:rRNA from 1 species
GAUGAACGCUGGCGGCGUGCCUAAUACAUGCAAGUCGAGCGAACAGACGAGGAGCUUGCUCCUCUGACGUUAGCGGCGGACGGGUGAGUAACACGUGGAUAACCUACCUAUAAGACUGGGAUAACUUCGGGAAACCGGAGCUAAUACCGGAUAAUAUAUUGAACCGCAUGGUUCAAUAGUGAAAGACGGUUUUGCUGUCACUUAUAGAUGGAUCCGCGCCGCAUUAGCUAGUUGGUAAGGUAACGGCUUACCAAGGCAACGAUGCGUAGCCGACCUGAGAGGGUGACCGGCCACACUGGAACUGAGACACGGUCCAGACUCCUACGGGAGGCAGCCGUAGGGAAUCUUCCGCAAUGGGCGAAAGCCUGACGGAGCAACGCCGCGUGAGUGAUGAAGGUCUUCGGAUCGUAAAACUCUGUUAUUAGGGAAGAACAAAUGUGUAAGUAACUAUGCACGUCUUGACGGUACCUAAUCAGAAAGCCACGGCUAACUACGUG